rnacentral:rRNA from 1 species
AAUUAAGCAUAUAAUUAAGCGGAGGAAAAGAAACUAACAAGGAUUCCCCCAGUAAGGGCGACUGAAGCGGGAAUAGCUCACCAUGUGAAUCUGUACAGACUUGAUCUGUGCCGAGUUGUGGUCUUUAGAAGCAAUGUAUGUCAGCAUCUCGGGCCAAGUCCUUUGGAAAAAGGCAGCUGAGAGGGUGAGACUCCCGUUCUUGCCUGAGAGGUUUGACUAUACUCAUGCCUUCAACGAGUCGAGUUGUUUGGGAUUGCAGCUCAAAUUUGGUGGUAAAUUCCAUCUAAAGCUAAAUAUUGGUGGGAGACCGAUAGCGAACAAGUACCGUGAGGGAAAGAUGAAAAGAACUUUGAAAAGAGAGUUAAAGAGUACCUGAAAUUGCUGAAAUGGAAGCAAAGGAAACCAGUGUUAUUUUGCAUCAUUUUUCUCCUGCUGCUUGCAACAGGGGCGCUGUGGUGUAAGGUAGGCCAGCAUGGGUUUGAAUCGGGGCAAAAGCUUUUGCUACCCUGGUUUGGACUGAGGUUAGCUCGUGUGAUGCUGGCAAAAUGGUUUUCUUUACCCCGUCUUGAAACACGGACCAAGGAGUCUAACAUAUGUGCGAGUAUAGGAGUGGCAAACUCCCAUGCGCAAUGAAAGUAACAGUGGUGUUAUCAACAUCCGCCGGCCACAAUCCUUCGGGAGAAAGGUCUGAGUGUGAGCAUACAUGUUGGGACCCGAAAGAUGGUGAACUAUGCCUGAAUAGGGUGAAGCCAGGGGAAACUCUGGUGGAGGCUCGUAUGCGGUUCUGACGUGCAAAUCGAUCGUCAAAUUUGGGUAUAGGGGCGAAAGACUAAUCGAACCAUACUAGUAGCUG